CAAACAAAUGGCGGGGCAAAGGGGGAAAAGAUUGAGGAAUAGAUAGAUAGAACAAUUCAAAGAAAUCCCAGCAGACCGACAAGUGAUUAGAAAAUCAAUGGGGGACAAAAGGGAAAAAUGUAGCGACCAAACACAGACUUCAGGUUCAAGAGCAACAACUGGAAAUGAUUGAGACUGGCAUUGUUACAUGGCCACAAAUCAAACAAAAGCAACGCCAACUAUUGUCACAAAAACCAAAAACAAGUAAAAAAUAAAAAAAAACACGAAUAGAGACUAUAACCAAGUUAUUGGCAAACAUCUUUCCUUUCCCCUCCUCCGGCUGCGCUUGGACCCAUUUCACAGCAUUGCAGCUAAAAGUGGAAAUAGAUUUUAGCAUGGAGGAGAGAAAACUAGAACAGUGUGGCUGAUGCAACUGAUAUGCAAGACCCUGCUUGGGAGACGAAAUGCAAUCUGGGAGGCAUGGGGAUAAAUACAUGGUCAUUGAUAUAUAAGCCAUGGCUUAAUUUCGAAAAGUUAUCAAACAGUUCUCAGCCCUCCAAGUGAAAACUUGCAAUAGUCACACCACAUCAAAAGAAAAAUAAAAAUGUUCAAAUACAUCGCUGCUGUCUUUGCCCUCCUGUUGGCUGUUGCCGCUGCCCUGCCAGCCCCAGUACCUGCUCCUGCCCCAGCUCCUGGACCUUCGCCCAGUCUAUAUCCUUAUUUCCCUGGACCCUAUGUGGUGGGACCUCAUGUCUUGGGUGCUCCUGUUGUUAAAGUGCUCUCUCCCUAUGGUCCCUUCGUCCAUGGACCCGUUGUUGUCGGUUAAAUUAUAGCGAAGCCAACCUGCCCAUAAAUAACAAACAUCUGCUGCCCCUUCCAACUUGAAUGCCUUUGUUUAUGAACUUUGACUUUUGGAGAUUCCUUUGUGAACGUCCAUCGUGUACCCUGUGUAUUUUGUGAACAUUUUUCAUUUUAAUUUCAUUUACUUUUUGUUUUUUCUAAUCAUUCUAUUGUGCUCUUCAUUAACCUUCAUUUUCUAGUUUUGCUAAAUGGCAAAACAUAAAAAUGUAAAAAAUUAAAAGAAAAAUAUAAUUUUUGUAUGCAACUUCAUAGAAAAAAAGCUUGUUGUUUAAAUUUUUAAAAAUA